ACCAAACCCAGUCCACACGCCCAGUACUUUCCUUUCGACACACCCACUUGACCAUAGUCCGGUCUCCGUAUCGAGCUGCUGCUCCCUACUUCUCCACGCGAACGUGAGUAGAUUUCCUUGAAAACAACGGUCGGACAUCUAGGAAGCCGUCUCCAGUUUGUAUUAUACCUCCAAGGUGUAGAGUCUACACUGUAGACGGAACAAAUAUCGACCAGAUCUUGAUCGGACGACAACAACAUGUUAAAGGUGUAACCGAGGCUUCUGAGAAACACAAAGAAACAUGGCCACAGUCUUCUCUGAUCUAAAGGACCUCUUCAUCUGUUCCAUCUGUACCGAAGUCUUCACCGAACGUAUAUCACUGAGCUGCCAGCACACCUUCUGUAGACGAUGCCUCCAGAACAAUAUGGACGCUGGUUGCGUUAUCUGUCCAGUGUGCGGGGAUCCAAUCACGACGGAGAAUUUCAGAGUUAACAGAAUACUAAGGAACAUGGCAGAUGAAGUGAGACAGAGGAGAGUGGAUCUCAGAGAGUUGAAGAGGAAUGAGGAUGUGAAUAAGUGGGAAACAAACAAGAAGAAGAAGAAUGUCAAAACAUCAAAGUCGUUUAUGAAGGAAGGCCUGGCUGCCAGAAAGACAGAGAGGAAGCUCAAGUCUUCUCUGACCACUGGUCCCUGGGAGGGUAUACUUUUUGGCAUUAUAGCCUUUUGUUGCUUUAUUUCUGUUCUUACUUAUGUUGUCCUUCCUUGUGUGGAAUUUGUGUCCGUAACGAUGUCAGGAAAUGCAGCCAAGGUGUUCGGAUCCCUUUUGGUGUUAAUCUCUAUGUUUGUUGUCUUCGCUGUUGUUGCUCAUAUGGUGGAUUUUGUGGUUGAAAAAGUUUGACUUCAAAUAUUUUUUCUAUAGUAAUAACUGAUUGAUUGCUUUUAUGUCAUGUUGGAGAGUCAUUGCAUGUAGCUAACUACCUUUCCCAGCAGGUUGGUGGUGGUUGAACAUCUUUUUGAAAUUAAUUAUCUUAUUUAGUUGACUUCAUCUGCUGGUUUAUGCCCAGUUUAUUCAUGCGAUGAUAAGUACAGUAGAUUUUAGUUGUGAAAUGAAUGUUGUGAAGCUUUAAACUGCUAACUGAUUAUAUGGAAGGAAAAGGACCAUGUUGUGUAUUGUUGUAAAACUUUUCCCUGUAAAUUUACCAGCAUUGUACCGGCACCAGAGUUGCCAGCUUAAUACUGUCAUCUUGCUUCACAGCAGAGAUGCUGUAAUAUAUUGUACACCUCUGGUGCCAUUACAAUGCUGAAUAUUUACAGUGAAAUUCUACCUCAAAAUCUAAAUACAAAGAAAUAUAUACAUGUGUACAUAAAAUACAUGUAUUCAAAUAGCUGACAACAUUAACUACAAAUGAACAACAUAAUUGACAAUAGAAGUAACAACAGUUACUAAAUAACCAAAUAAGAGCAUCAUUACAACACUAA